rnacentral:lncRNA from 1 species
AUGAAGGAGGCAACAAGUGAUGUUUUAGGGAAAGGAAAUAUUACUAAACACACACACACAAGUCCAGACAAUCCCAUGGACAGAGGAGCCUGCCAGGCUACAACCCAUAGAGUCACAAAGAGUCAGACACGACUGAAGCAACUGAGCGUGCACAAAUAUACCACAUUUGGAGCAACAGUGAGAGAUAAGAUUGGAAUGGUUGAUUGGGGGUUUAUUCUGAAGAAUUUAGAAUAUGGAACUGGAGACUUCCUGGUGGUACAGUGAGUGAGAAUCUGCCUGUCUGCCAAUGCAGGGGACACAGGUUCAACUCCUGAUUGGGGAAAUUCCACAUGCCGUGGAACAACUAAACCGGUGCCCCACAACUACUGCGCUCACGUGCUGUGACUGCUGGACCCAGGGGCUGCAACGUGUAAAGCCUGUGCACCGAGAGCCCGUGCUCUCUAACAGGAGAGUCCACCACAGUGAGAACCCCAUGCACCAACAAAGAGGAGCCCCAACUUACCUCACCUAGGGAAAGCCUGCAUGUAGCAACAGAAGCCAGCACAAUCAAAAAAUGGAUUAAUUUAAAAGGGAAUUGUUAAAAAAAGGAAUAUGGGACUUGUAAUUCAAGAAGCAUUACUGACGUAAACUAGUCACAUUGAUUUUCUUUAGUUAUUGGCACCCUAGGGAAUAUAGACUAACCAACUGCCCCCAAACUCUUUCCACAUAUGAUGUUAUUUAUAAUGUUUGCAUAGCAUUUCAUUACGUGGAUUUCCCAACAUUUAUUUAACCAUUCCACUGUUGUUGGACCUAUAUGGUGUCUCUCAUGUUCUUCAGUUGCAGUAAUUUUACAACAAUCUUCCUUUGCUAAUGUUUUCCUUUUUAUAUUACUUCCAUAGGCUAGAAUCUUGGAUAUUGAACUGCUUGGCUAAGACACAAAGCUGAUACAUAUCUUAAGGUUAAUCUGUUCAAGCAUUUGUGCAAAGAUACAGUUCUACUUGAGGUUUUAAAUUUAGUAGUGUAAAAAGGACACAACAGACCCAAAAUGGAAUUACUUAUGCUAAACUCCAUGCCAGUAAACCAAGACUUAAUAUUUAACUUAAUUGCAAUUUCAACACCCCAGGAACGUAACCUUUAACCAGUCAACCUAGAAUUACCUGGUUAGCAGUAGUGAAGUAAUCUGCGUAUAGGCACCUCCAUCCCCCUUAGGAGGGCAACUGUGCCUGAAACAGUACUUUUUUUGUUAAUAAUUUUCUUUUUUCUGCCCAGUUUCUACUUUCAAAACCUUUCCUUUUCUAUAGCUUGGUGGAACCAAUUUGACCUUUAAAUUUACUCAGUUAAAUUUUUCUUGUUU